GGCCAUCGCUCAACUGCAGAGCAUCUGCUUUGCACGCAGUAGGUCCUGGGUUCGAAUCCCCAACAGCACCU